CCUACGGGAGACAGCAGUAGGGAAUAUUGCGCAAUGGGGGCAACCCUGACGCAGCAACGCCGCGUGGAGGAUGAAGGUUUUCGGAUUGUAAACUCCUUUUGUGAGAGAAGAAAAUGACGGUAGGUAACGAAUAAGAAGCGGCUACCGACGUGCCAGCAGCCGCGGUAAUACGUAGGGGGCAAGCGUUGUCCUGCUUUACUGGGUGUACAGGGGGGGCAGACGGCACGGCAAGACAGCAGUGAAGGCCCGGGGCCCAACACCGGGACUGCUCUUGGAACUGCUUGGCUGGAGUACAGGUGGGUCAGGCGGAAUUCCUUGUGUAGCGGUGACAUGCGUAGAUAUUCGGAGGACCCCCAGUGGCGAAGGCGGCCUGCUGGACUGUGACUGCCGUUGAGGCCCGAACGCGUGGGGAGCAAACAGGAUUAGAUACCCUAGUAGUC
rnacentral:rRNA from 1 species